AGAACGAACGCUGGCGGCAUGCCUAAUACAUGCAAGUCGAACGAACACUUCGGUGUUAGUGGCGCACGGGUGCGUAACGCGUGGGAAUCUGCCCUUGGGUUCGGAAUAACCGUUGGAAACGACUGCUAAUACCGGAUGAUAUCGAAAGAUCAAAGAUUUAUCGCCCAGGGAUGAGCCCGCGUAGGAUUAGCUAGUUGGUGAGGUAAAGGCUCACCGAAGGCGACGAUCCUUAGCUGGUCUGAGAGGAUGAUCAGCCACACUGGGACUGAGACACGGCCCAGACUCCGUACGGGAGCAGGCAGUAGGGAAUA
rnacentral:rRNA from 1 species